AGCAAAGCGAGCCGAGCCGAGCCGAGCAAGCAAGAAUCUUGCACGGAGUGGAUUUUCGUCUUUGCCACCCCCCGAACCCUUCUUCGCCCCCUUUCCCUUUUCAUCGNUACAGGACAGCAGUCGGGGCUUGCCGUGGUAGGGCAGAUCACCUGUCGCUUUAAUAGGGAGAUUUUUUUUUUUCCUUCAAAGAAAAAGAAGAAGAAGGGGGGACGAACGGAACUGCCCGGAGAGUGUCGCCUCUUAUUCUGUUGAAUAUAUAUGUGUAUAUCUCGAUCGAUUUGGACCCAACGGAAGCGGGCGUGAUUCCCGGAGAAUGAAAUUGAGCAGAGCGUCGACGAUUUGGAGGACAAGGUUGAGUUUGCCCUGGAAACUGAGAGCCUAGAAAAAAUACAUAUAUAUUCUUUCUUUUUCUUUCUUUUUUUUUUUCCUGCUGAAAGAGAGAUAAUUUGGUACAACUUCUAUAGUGCUUUAUUUCUACUCCUUCUCCUUCCACGUUUUCCUUCUCCCAUCUCCGCGCCGUUCAGUUUCGGUCUAUGGAUAGAUCACAGAAUCUGGACAUUGAGGAGCUCAAGUGGUGCUGAAAACAGAAGAAUUUGUACAUGGACAAAAUAAAGAAUCACCCUUGCAUCUCCCUUGGCAAUAGUUUUGUCCUCUCUUUGAGUCCAACAGAAUUUUCGACUUCCCCCUUAGUGGGGAGCGUCUUUUUAAGGAAGCUUCCUGAAGAUUGCAGAAUAAUGGCUGCUUACCUCAUUCUGCAGCCUGGAAUUGAAACUGGAUAAAGAAAACUAUAGCUGAAGAGGAAAAUAGAGGCUUGGAAAACCAGCAUAAGAACAUGAAGGAAAGAAAUGAGUGUGAUCUACACCUGGGGCAGGUUCCACCUGCAUUUUAUUGAUGGGAUGUGAAACAAAAGAAAAAAUAUGUCAAGAAAAAGAUCCAUUUAUUUUAAAAAUGUGGUCCUUUAUCACACUUGUGUAACUGAACCCCUCGAUCAGUACGCUGCAAAAUUUGAAGCAUGACUUUCUGAGGAAUAGCAACAUUUCAGUUCAUGCACUGCUUGAAAAGUACACUUCUUGGAGUCCUUCAUUGACCAAGGGAAAAGAUUUUGCAAAGUUUGUACUACAGUUGAUUACAGUGGUUUUGUCGUAGAAGGAGAAUUUGGAGCUUCUUAUUUCUUGUUGUCAUUCAGUGAGAUAGAAAAAGGAGGGGAAAAUAACACUUUUAGCUUGUUCUGAAUGAUAUGAUUAUGGAUUCUUUCCCUAAGUUGUGAUUGUCUAGGGAAAUCUGUCCAUGUCCAGAAGUCUGCAGUGGGUGGUGUAACUGAUGCAGACUAUAUAAACCAAAAAAGGAUAUUUAUUGCGUAAAGGGUACAAUUUAAAGAGGCUAAGAAGUUAAAUCCUGAGAGAAGAUCCUUGCUUCCUGAUUAAAAUGUAAUUAUAAAUUACAGUGUGAAUGCUGUAAUUUUGUCAACGAUUUUGUACUCUCAAGCUCAACUUUGCAUUAAAGAGCUCUACAAUCUUUUCUCUGCCUUAGAUGUUUUCUUCAGUCUUAUUGAUGAAAAGACAACACCACUCCAAAAGCCACAGAUAUAGGA
ensembl:lncRNA